rnacentral:rRNA from 1 species
UACGAGAGGCCCAAACGUUAUUCGGAAUCACUGGGCUUACAGAGUUCGUAGGCGGUCUGGAAAGUUGGGUGUGAAAUCCCUCGGCUCAACCGAGGAACUGCGCUCAAAACUACCCGACUCGAGGGAGAUAGAGGAAAGCGGAACUGAUGGUGGAGCGGUGAAAUGCGUUGAUAUCAUCAGGAACACCGGUGGCGAAGGCGGCUUUCUGGGUCUUACCUGACGCUGAGGAACGAAAGCUAGGGGAGCGAACGGG